UACAGAGGUCUCAAGCGUUGUUCGGAUUCAUUGGGCGUAAAGGGUGUGUAGGUGGCGCGCUAAGUCGGGUGUGAAAUUUCGGAGCUUAACUCCGAAACUGCAUUCGAUACUGGCGUGCUUGAGGACUGGAGAGGAGACUGGAAUUCAUGGUGUAGCAGUGAAAUGCGUAGAUAUCGUGAGGAAUACCAGAGGCGAAGGCGGCUACCUGGACAAUUGCUGACGCUCAGGCACGAAAGCGUGGGGAGCAAAAGGG
rnacentral:rRNA from 1 species